rnacentral:lncRNA from 1 species
CGUACCGGGGUAUGACAUGCUUUUGGCCAGUAAUUCGAUUUUCUCACCGGCAUGUAUACUCGGAUAAUUGCAGUUGUCCGAUUGAGCAGCAUAGUCGAACUAUGGCUGUAAUCUGACUAAGCUGUGCAUGUAAACGCACUGAGUUUGAUAACCAGCAGCUUCUCCAUGAACAGCUCCAGACCGGGGCGUCUGAGAACAGCGACAGAGGCCAGUUACAGUAGUGAGAUUUGCAGAACGGCAAAUCUGUUGGCAGCCUGAUCCUGGGUCCUGAUGGGGAGAUCAUUCAACUGUCACUGUAUGACAGCAGCCACAACCCACCUCAGGGUGCCUGCGACACACAGGAGCAAGCUCUCCAGGUUUUGUCUGCAGAGGGAGAGACGUUACCCUGGGUCAUUGUCCUGCAGCCUGAAAAUACUCAAGCAGCGUGUGCAGAGGGAGAGGUGGAGUUAAACACAGAUGUUCCUGAGGGCGACAUCCAGCAACACCAGUCCGAGCUCGUCGAUCUUCAGAGUGACAAGAAUGCUUACACACCCAGCAGACACACAGAUCCAGUGGCUGUGACCCAGGAAAAAAAGAGUCCAGAGGCGGUGGGAGAAACAAGGAAGGCACCAAAAAAGGAUGCUAAAAACAAUGUUAGGCUGCCUCCACUGAGGGAGCCAAGAAGAGGCCACGCUGAGGCAGAGGAGGACGACAAACAGGAAGAGCGGGGAGGUACACAACAGUCCAGCCAUUUGUCUGGAUCACAUCAGCCAAGUUUGCCCAGAGAGAAGCUGCAGGUAAAAGAUGACGCAUCAUCAUUCAGCGAGCAGAACAUCAACUCAAAGGAAGCAAGAACGGAGGACGCUGUGGACCAAAAGAGGAGGAACACAAAGAGGAGAGACACUCAGGAUGUGAAAACAGUGAGCGCAGACACAGAGGGACAGAAGACAUCAAGGACGAGGAAGGAAGGAAGACGGCAGAGACACAAGACGGAAAGUGAUGCUGCUCAAUCGACGAGGAGCCAGAAACAGGAGGAGAAGACCAACAGAGAAGCUGCAGAGACUAAGAAGCAGUCUGCCCUCCCGCCUGAGAAGAAGAAGACGACACACAGGCAGGAAGAGAUGGAGGCGAAGGUGAACAGGGAGAAAGAAGAGCAAGGAGAGGUGACAGGGCAGAAAGAAGACUCUGAUGGGAGAAGGAGGAGAGGAAGGCUAAAACACAAAGAGUUAGUUACAGAUAAUCAUGGGAAAGAGGAGCUGGAUAUUAACAAGGAAAUGGAAGAGGGGUCUCACCUGAAAUAUACCAAAAGAUCCUCUGCAACCCAGAGAAGCAACAACAAAACCGAAACUAAAUCUGAAUCUCUAAAUCCAGAGGAGGACACAGACAGGGACCAUCUUUCCAGCAGUGCUGACAGACACAGCAGUGUCCAAUCAGUGAGCUCACUCAGGUCCACUGCUGCUGCAUCUCGGUCCAGUCAAAGGAGCCGGAGGAGGUCUGCUGACUCUCCCUGUGAGGGGGCAGUGCCCACCAGCGCUACAGGACUCGCCUUAUCACGUGGACGCCUGUCAUCAUGUUCCACUGUCAUGGUAACAGAGGAACAGCUGAUGCUGAACACAGUAAAGCCAGAGUCAUCCAGGCCCAGAAAGAGUGAGGAGAAGGAGGAGGAGGAGGCUGCAGCUCUGCGUCUGGCCCAGCGAGCAGAGAGACGGAGGCUAGAGGUGGAGAGGAAGAGGAGGGAGCGGGAGGAAGAGGAGAGGAAGCAGCAGGAAAGGGAGCAGAAUGAGGAGAGGAUGAAGAGCGAGCUGGAGGAGGAGAGGAGAAAAAAAGCUGAGGAGCUCAGGUCCUACUUUUUUUACUGA